UGAGGAAUAUUGGGCAAUGCCCGCAAGGGUGACCCAGCAACGCCGCGUGGAGGAUGAAUGUCGUAAGAUUGUAAACUCCUGUUAGAGGGGAAGAAUAGUACCGGUUGGACCGGUAUAUGACUGUACCCUCAGAGAAAGCCCCGGCUAACUACGUGCCAGCAGCCGCGGUAAUACGUAGGGGGCAAGCGUUGUCCGGAAUUACUGGGCGUAAAGCGCGCGUAGGCGGUCCACCAAGUCGGGGGUGAAAGCCCGGGGCUCAACCCCGGAAUGUCCUCCGAGACUGUUGGACUGGAGUUCGGGAGAGGAGAGCGGAAUUCCCAGUGUAGAGGUGAAAUUCGUAGAUAUUGGGAAGAACACCGGUGGCGAAGGCGGCUCUCUGGCCCGCAACUGACGCUGAGGCGCGAAAGCGUGGGGAGCAAACA
rnacentral:rRNA from 1 species